GACGAACGCUGGCGGCGUGCUUAACACAUGCAAGUCGAACGGAAAGGCCCUGCUUUUGUGGGGUGCUCGAGUGGCGAACGGGUGAGUAACACGUGAGUAACCUGCCCUUGACUUUGGGAUAACUUCAGGAAACUGGGGCUAAUACCGGAUAGGAGCUCCUGCUGCAUGGUGGGGGUUGGAAAGUUUCGGCGGUUGGGGAUGGAAUCGCGGCUUAUCAGCUUGUUGGUGGGGUAGUGGCUUACCACGGCUUUGGCGGGUCGCCGGCCUGAGGGGGUGAGCGGACACAGGGAGUCGGAGAUAGGGCCCAGACCCCUACGGGGGAGAAGAGGGGGGAAUUGUGCAAUAGGGGCGGGACCCAGGUGCAGCAACCCCGCGGGGGGUGAGACGGCCCGCGGGGUGUAAACCGCUUGCGCCUGUGACGAAGCGUGAGUGACGGUAAUGGGUAAAGAAGCACCGGCUAACUACGUG
rnacentral:rRNA from 1 species